rnacentral:lncRNA from 1 species
CAGAGUGGACUGUCUGGGGUCCUCGCAGUUUCCUGCUUCAGUACCUUUCUAUAAUCACAUGGAAUCUGUGCAGAUUCACACAUGGGGAUCUUCUUCCAGUGAGAGGCUUGGAUGAUAAAGUUGGGAGACACGGGGCCUCAUCUCAGUGCCACACGGAGAGACACCUGUGCCCUCAGAGGUCAGCUGGACCUGAGAAGAAACAGUCUUCCCUCUCCCUCUGCCUAACCACUGAGAACAACAGAGUGUGUGACUGGCUUCCGUGGCAGGAGGAGCAGCUCUGUUUGCCUGGAGACCCUCCCACUGCCCCAGGACACUGA